UACGUAGGGUGCGAGCGUUAAUCGGAAUUACUGGGCGUAAAGCGUGCGCAGGCGGUUUUGUAAGCCAGAUGUGAAAUCCCCGGGCUUAACCUGGGAAUGGCAUUUGGGACUGCAAGGCUUGAGUGCGGCAGAGGAGACUGGAAUUCCUGGUGUAGCAGUGAAAUGCGUAGAUAUCAGGAGGAACACCGAUGGCGAAGGCAGGUCUCUGGGCUGACACUGACGCUCAUGCACGAAGCGUGGGAGCGAACAAA
rnacentral:rRNA from 1 species